GUUUUUCAUGCGCAACAGAGUGGGGCAGCCAUUUUCUCUCUCUAUCCAAUUGAAGAAACUACAGUCCUGGUGACAUAUUAUCGAUUAUUUAUUCAAUAAAACAACUUGAGAAUUGAUUAUAAAAACAUUUGACAUGUUUCUCAUGAACUUUACGGAUACUAUUUGGAAUUUUUGUCUGCCCCGUUGUGACCGCUCGAGCCUGUGGAUUUCUGAACAUACGGCGCCAACCAAAUGGAGGUAUUUUGGAUAUAAAAAUUAUCUUUAUGGAACAAAAGGAACAUUUAUUGUGUAACUGGGAGUCUCGUGAGUGCAAAGAUCCGAAGAUCAUUGAAGGAAUGCCUGUCAUGAAGAUCUGGAUUCAGAGCAGGAAGACAAGAAGAUGGUUUUAGUGUCAUCACUUAAGAGCUAUGAAGCUUGGGCUCUCAGGCAGAGGAUUACCAACUGGUGCUGGAGAGUGAUGGACUAGAGGUGGAUAAGGAUGAGAUUUUCCUAGAACUCCACACUAGCACUUUUAUAGUCUUGAUGGGGGGAGAGUGCUGGGAGCCCAUGUCAUGGAAUUCAGCAGGCACUGAUGCUGAAGCAGAUACUGCAAGACAGCUGUAAAGUUGUAGAGAGACGAGCAAGUGUAUUCAUAUAUGCAAGCAUCCUGAAGUGAAGCACAUACAUCAUACCACACUGACUAUUGUCUUGAUUAGUACCUCUAUUUUUAAUCUCAUUUAUUUAAUCCUCCAUUGUGUGUCCAUUUGGUUUACUUUCCACUUGUAAAUGUAUUGUUCACCCAUUUCACCCAUAUCGUUCAGAUUAAACACCACGCCCACCCUUCUCCACACUUCUUUGCUAGAAGUUGGCAGAGGGUAAUGCCAUGUCUGUCUGGAGUAAACUGGUAGAGAAGACAGCCCACUACUAAGACAGCAGGGAGUACAGAGCCGUAGGCAGAAAGAUGUUUGCAAGAUAUCUGUGUAUAAAGCACGAGAGAACAGAGCCAUGGGUUAGAGCACUUAUUUCAAUGGACAACUUCCAAAGGUUGUAUGUUGCAUUGUAGAAUUAUAGCUCCACUCAGUGAUUUCUGCAUACCGAGUCACCAACAAAACCUUAACAAUAAAGCAAAUGCAGGCAAACGGCACUUGGUUUCUGUGACUUGUUUUGAUGACAGUGGCUUUGAUUAUCUGAAAUAUCACUACUUCAAACAAUGUUUUCUUAUAAUCGUUGUUCACCAAAUGCCUCCGCCAAAGAUAAAGAAUGUUCGCUGGAGUGCCAGGCUUU
ensembl:lncRNA